AUCAAUUUAACUUAGGCCUAGCUAGACUAAUAUUUAUAAUUUUAAAGUUUGUGUCAGAAGUUUGCGAUGCCAGUUGAGGAGCCUAAACGGCUGCUGGAUAUAAUUCCUUGUAGAAUAGAUUCUACCAUGCUUUGAUGAGGUUAUUUAUCACAAUAGGCCAACAUGCUAUCACUAGAAGUUAUCUUAACAUAGGAAUAGGCCUAUUAGUUCUAAUUAGCGUAUUGUGAAAUUUAGAAAUGUAUUUAGGCCUGCAAAGUAAAAAAUGUUGGCUUGAAGCACAGAUAAAGCAAAGAUCAAUUACGAAUAUGCCCACAUAAUAAUACACUUACAGUACCUACAGUAAGUUAAGUCAUAAUGAAUUUGCCCACUGAUCUGAAUGGUAUUAAUAUACCAAAUGAAAAACUUCUUGACUGGUUGGAAUCAAUUGAAAGUAUUGAUCGAAGAUAUGGAUAUUUGUAUGACGUUGGAAUUCAGGCAAAGAAAAAAGGGCUCAACAGUCAACAAAUGACUGGGAUGUAUGUGCAACUAGCUAAUCACAGUUUUGUAAAAUUAACCAAACUGACAAAUGAUGAAAUUGCAUAUCAUUGCAGUAAAGAUGUACCUGCUAGCUCUGGAUCUGAAGAGGAAGAUGUUGACGAGGAUAGUAUCGCAGUAUCUGAUGAUGGAAGCUCUGAUACUGAUUGUGAGACAGAACGAACUCUGGAGAGUAUCACAAGUAAACUGUCACAUGAGUUGAGUGAAGCCAUAGAGAAGUCAUCCAAGAAAAGAUCAGAGGCUUCAGAAGAAACUCAAAUAAGCUGUAAACUUUCCCGCUCUGAAGUGAGUAAAAAUGCAGACUCAUGUAAGAGUUCAACACCUGGAUCAAGUGAACGAUCCGAUAAUGAUGCAGGUAGAAAAAACACUAUCGUUAGAAAAGAAACUAAAUGUCAAUCACACAAUUCAACUAAUAUAAGAGAAAAAUUAAAAACUGCAACUGUAAGUGAUAAACAAUUGAAUAUUGAGAAACCUAAAAUUUCACCUUCAAAAACUGCCAAAACAACAGAAACACCAAGAAAGGAUUCAAGCAAUAAAUAUAGUGAAGAUAAAAAGAAAUCAAAUAGAAAUAAUGUUAAAACUCCAAACGGUGCCAUAAAAUCAAGCCAUACUCUUGUAGCGGAUAAAGCUGCUAGUAAGAUGUGUAGAAGUGAAACUGUGGAUAAACAGUUGGAGAUUAGAUCUUCUGUAGCAAAUAGUAUACAAGCUUCAUCAUCCAGUUGUGAAAAAUCAAAAGAAGUUAGUAACAAGAAAAUGUUGUCAAAUAACAGUGAAUUGAACCCUUUAGUUUUAAAUACAACACUGCCUUGUACAAGAGAAGAAAUAACAAGUAUGAAAAUUUUAAAAGAUAAACUAUCUAAAAAAUUAUCUAUUACAGACAAUAAUCUCCCUUCUACAUCUAGUACUAGCUCUAUACUUCAGCCCGACCUCCAUGGAAAUAAUCCUACAUCUAACACGCCUGUAGCCAAAGUAACUAAAGAGACUAAUCGUAAAGAGAAAAUAAGUGUAAGAACUAACUUGUUUGAAACAAGUGAAAAUGACAGUCCUAAGGAAAAACGUUCGCCUGGAGCAAAUAGGCCUAACCACUGUAAAGAAGAGAAGAAAAAGAAAAAAGAAACUUCGCAAAAGGUGGCAGUAACUAAUAGUCUUAAUCAUUCCGUGCAAGAAAUGAAUGCUCGGCUAAGUAAUAUCAAAAAUAUAAUAAUUGAAAAGAAACGUCCCUCUCCAGAUAAGGGGACGGAUAGAGAUAGUGUUAAAAGGAGAAGAAUUUCAGAUAAUAUUCCACAGCAAAGUUCUGAGAUAGCAAACGACAGUCAUAACACUUUGUCCAAUUUGCUUGAUGAAGCUUUGCGUAAAAAUAAGGAACAACAUUCAAUUAAUACUAGCUCUAGAACAAAUGAUUCUCAGUUAGAAGUUAAUACUAGCAGUUCUACUAAGCGACCUUCAGUUGUUUGUAUCCAGCCUUCAGUUGUUUGUACGCUACCUUCAGUAAUUUGUACUCAAUCUGCAGUUGUUUGUUCGCAACCUUCAGUCAUUUCUACUCAAUCAGCAGUGGUUUGUACGCAACCUUCAGUAAUAGUUUCUGAUGUGAAUAUGUCUUCCCCAGCAGUUGAAACAGCUGCUUGUACAAGUAAUUCUGCAAACAUGAGGCAGACGACUUAUGGAGACUCAAUUGAAAAUCUGUUUUUGAGGCACCUGACAAGUGGUAUUGGAGGAAAUGCCUCGUCAGAAAAUGUAGAAAAAAGUAGAACUGAUAUUAAUGCUUCAUCAAUUACUGCUUCGCAUCCCUCGUCUAGCUCAGAGAUUGUCAUGAACAAAGAUAGUACUAACUUGUCACAACUGAGUUAUAACAACCAGGGAUCAGACAGGCCUAAUUGUAGCGCUGCGAACCAACAUUUAGCUCAAGCAACCAUUACUUAUGGAACAUCAUCUCAAGAACACCGAUUCAUUGAUGAGGCUGUACAAGGUUUUAUUUUCUUUUUCCCUCCGAGCAGGCAAAAUAAUAGUAUUAUCUUGAGUGCUCCUAAACAAGUUUUAAUCAGUUUAAAAGAUUAUUAUACCAAUAAUCAAAUACCAUGGGGCAAAUCAAUUUUAGAAUUAUUGAGAUUGUAUAUGGGUCUUUACAUAAAGGUUUUCAGCAGUGAAGAUGUUAGCAAUAAUGUUUGUAAAACUGCAGAACUUUUACACCUGUCUAUUGCUGAUUGUAACCGAAAAUCUGAACGAUUAGAGAAGGCUCACAGGCUGCAGUCAGAAACCCUUAAGAAAGAGGAAAUCGAAGGUGCCGAUAAAGAUUAUCAAGAAAUUCUCUGUUGUAGAGGAAAUCAGUUUUCCGAACUCUUUACACAUGUUACAUCCAUAUUCAAACAAUUUAGAGGCUGUGAGUUUGUGAUGAUUGUAACUUUUUAUUUUAAGAUCAUGCAGGCAUUGGCAAAGAUAGAUAAAGAGAACCAAAAACACUUUGUCGAACUCAGAGACUUGAUGAAAACCCUACUCAUUAGUGGCGGCAAUCGGUGUGCCUUAGAGGAUCUAGAACAAUUUUUUUAUGCUUCUCCUAAAGACUUGGAAGAAAGUUGCCGUUUUGUGAAGCAGUGUUUACUGACCUUGUAUUUGUCAGGAUAUAGUGACGCAGAAACUGAUACGUUUUGGGAGCUAGACAAGUGUGAGCCAAUCAUUCCCAAUCUUGUUAACAUAAUAUAUGCAUUCAAAGAAAAGGCUCACAUUUCAAAAGCUGGAAAUCGUGUUCCUAAUGCCAACCAAAGCUCUUGCCAAACUGAUUCAAACCAACAAGCAGUUCCUCAAAAUCGAGUUAACCCGAUGCCUCAAACACAGAUGAACAACUAUCGUUCAGUAAACCCAGCAAAUAUCAGAGCCCCCCAGAACCCUUCACCAGUUCAACAGCCUCAGCGAGUCUACAACCAAAGUGUGAUGGAGCCAUCAACCACUGCUGAGCAUCAACAUCUUCCAUCUUUUGCUACAUUCAACCAUCUUCAACAUUCAGCACGAGUACUUCAAACAAAUUCGCCUGCCACCUCUGGCAUACAGGCUCAACAAAUGUAUCGAAGAGCUGAUCCGAGACUUCAAACUCAACCUAGUACCUCAUCUUCGGCUCCUGGUCGACCUCCUGCCACUAAUCAGACAGCUAAUCCGAGACUUCAAACUCAACCUAGCAUCUCAUCUUCCGCUCCUGGUCGACCUGCCACUCAGCAGACAGCUAAUCCGAGACUUCAAACUCAACCUAGCAUCUCAUCUUCCGCUCCUGGUCGACCUACUGCCACUCAUCAGAAUAUGAGAAUGGCCUCGAACCAGCAGCAGGUCAGGGUCGCCUCAAAUCAACAACAGGUCAGAGUGGCGUCGAACCAAUACUUGUUCCCUCCUCCGAAAUACCCAGGCAAUGCCGCAUCCCAAUGGUCCCCCAGGGGAGGUGGAACCACUACCAACCCCCAGACGCAAAUUAAUCACCAAAUAUCCUCACAAAAUCAGGCUCCACAAAAUAUUUAUCGGAGAGCUGACCCGAGACUUCAAACUCAGCCCAGUUUCUCAUCUUCGGCUUCGGGUCAAACUCCUUCCUUUCAUCAGGACCUGAAUCACAACCUUGUCAUGAUGGGCUUCAACCAACAACUCUCGAGUGUUGUCUCAAAUCAACAACAGACGAGAGUUGUUCCGAAUCAACAACAGACGAGAGUUGUUCCACAUCAACAACAGACGAGAAUUGUUCCGAAUCAACAACAGACGAGAGUUGUUCCGAAUCAACAACAGACGAGAGUUGUUCCGAAUCAACAACAGACGAGAGUUGUUCCACAUCAACAACAGACGAGAGUUGUUCAAAAUCAACAACAUGUCAGGGUUGCAUCAAACCAAUACCUGUUCCCUCCGCCAUACACUGGUAAUGCUGCCCCAGCCAACCAGAUUCCCCUGAGGGUAGGUGGAACCACUACCAACCCCCAGCCGCAAAUGAAUCGCCAAAUAUACGUACAAAAUCAGGAGGAGUGACUUUUAUGAAUGAACUUUUGGAUUUGCUUUUGUGUGAAAAACUUUUUAAUCUUAUUUGUUAGACUUGAACAACUAACCAUACUGCUAUUAAAAUUAACUUUUAUAAAGGGAAAAGUGCUUUUGGACAACUGUAAACAUAUAAUUCCCAAUAAUGGAACAGUGAAUACCAGUGUUUUUUGUUUUUUUUUUUGCAAAUAGGUUAGUACUCUGUAAAUAAAGUGAAAACUUAAUCUUCUUCCUUACUCUGUCAUGUGUUUAAUUGAUAGACGUCAACUUGAAGUGAACUUGCAAAGGAGUAAAGCUUGUUUUAAAAAUUAUCCGUACAAUUGAUACUUCAAUCGCCAAAAGACUAGAGAGAUAUUAUUGCAUGGCUUGAGAUGCAGAAUGAGAUGAUUUCCACCAACGAGAUGAUCGAGUCCCCGGUUCAGAUACAGAUGUGUACCAAGUCUGGGUGUCUUAAUCAAGCAACUCUGGUCUGCAGCAAGUGUCAACAAUCGG